UUACCUUCAGAAGCAAUUAGAAGAAAUGGAACAGAAUGUCAAAUUUUUACCCAAACACAAAACAUUGGUGCCACAGGGUCACGUCCAGGUUUAUAUUCAAAAUCCCAAAGAAAAAACAGGUCGCUUCAUUUAUGAAAAUGAUUGAUGAGUGCAUAACCGGUAAUUUUCCAAGGAUGUAAAAUUUUUGUACUAACUGGGGUGACGUUAAGCGAAUCAAGUUCACCUACUUACUGGGGAUAUUUCCUCAUUCCCAUUUUCUUUGCAGAGAAACAAGGAAAACGGGCCAAUUUACAGCCUUCAGGUGGCAUUAAGAUUAUUAUGAUUCACAUACUGACUUCAUAAUCCACUGACCCAGAAAAUGUUAAUAUUUGAAUUUCAUUUUACCUGAAAAGGCUCCCAUGGCGGCCGCCUGGGCAAUCAGCAGAGACAAGGCCAGCAUCCCGACCAUUUUAAGAUCUGGUAAAAACAAGACACCCAAAAUAAGAAAAAAUUUUUAGAAUUAUCGUCAAGUGUCCAUUCUAGCAUGUGAGUAGGAUAGAAAAGCCUAGUUUUUAAUCCAUUUUUAUGCCUUUUGUUGAUAGGAAGCUAAAAACCCAAGAGACAUUGAACCAGUUGAGAAACCAGUUGAAAACUAUCCCUUUCAUGGGUCGUCAAAUGUGGGGGCAGAAACGGACGUGAUUCAAUUCUGUCGUGUUGAUUUGAUUAUGGGCGGGUCUCACCAUCGAGUGACCUUCUUCUUCUCCUA
rnacentral:lncRNA from 1 species